UCCAAGUGCAGAGCUAGAACAGUCAC
rnacentral:piRNA from 1 species